UACGAAGGGGGCAAGCGUUGUUCGGAAUUAUUGGGCGUAAAGGGAGCGUAGGCGGUUCGGCAAGUCUUUAGUGAAAUCUCUGGGCUCAACUCAGAGUCUGCUGGAGAAACUGCCGGGCUGGAGUACGAGAGAGGUGAGUGGAAUUCCCAGUGUAGAGGUAAAAUUCGUAGAUAUUGGGAAGAACACCGGUGGCGAAGGCGGCUCACUGGCUCGUAACUGACGCUCAUGCACGACAGCGUGGGGAUCAAACAGG
rnacentral:rRNA from 1 species